UAUCUCAGAGAGAAUGUCAGUAGUUCCAUUUUAUAUAUUUCCUGAAUUAUUUCCUUCCAUUCGGUGAUUGUUGGAGGUUCCUUAUUCAACUUUUUUCUGGUGAUUGCCUUUUUACUACCAGCUAGUCGUAUUUGUGCCAUUGACUGUAUAUACAAUGGACAACUUGGCUCCGCCCUCCGCCUGUAUACGGAUUUGUAGCAAAAAAGCUCUUGGUAUUUCUGUUUGUUUUUUUCCACUUUUUGAAACCAACAUUGCGCAGACUUGCUGUGAUGACACUCGGCUCAAACAGCGUAUCCCUCGGGUGAUCUACGCAAUCCUUGUACGCCCAUAGGUUGUAUCAAGUGUCAAUCAUAGAAAACAUGAACCCCCUAAUAUUUUUUAAAAAUGGUGCUUCACAGAAAAAAGAGGACUUGAGCACAAACCAGUCUGACAAUAACUACAUGUCAACAUCACAAACGGGGGAGAAAAAUUUAUGUUCUGUGUAAUAAAUUUCUAAAGUUCGUCCACAGCUCCAUAGGGAUUGCUGGAGGAGGCGGGAUUUAUGACCUAUUCUGCAGUCCAUCACCAGAGGGAGCUGUUCUCGGGGUGGCUUCACCCAGCGAGGAGGCGGACUCUGUCCAUUCUAUAUACAGUCUAUGGCAUCUCUACAGGCAGAGACUGAAAGAGGAAAAGUAUUCUGGGUAAUAUGUUCAUGUUAACGACAGCUAUUUGAUUGUUCAUAUUCAUUGGGAGUAGUGACCAACGCUUUAGUCCUAUGGUAAAUUUACACCUAAACAUUCAAUAACAGAGUCUUUCCAUUUAAAUGUAGUCAGUUUACGUAUGUUUUCUGUUGGUAUGUAAUUAAAUGUAAGAGUUUGAGUUUUAUUAAGAUUUAACUUGUAACCAGAGUGGGAGCCAAAUGUUUGAAGUAAGGAUAGUAAUUUGGGCAAACAAGUGGUAUUUUUUCAGGUGUUUAAAUCUUUAUAACUACUACAAAUACAGUCAGAUAGAAAAUUCUGGCAUCACAUCAACGGCCCAUGAACUCAAAAAACCUUGAGAAAAUAAAUUAAGUGGAACAGCAGCUAAUCUGACCGCAAUACCAGAAAUGUAGAUCAAAUAAACCAACAAAUCAUCAUUGAGGUGAAUAUUAUGAUAAAAAAAGUUUGUAACAGGAUAAAAGUCGACUGAGGUUGAUUUUCCCAACAGUAGGACACAACACCAACUUCCAACAGUAGGACACAACACCAACUCGACAUGUGAGCCAUCCUAAAGGUGAACGCUGCAGAGUUACACACCCAAUCCUUUUAACAGCCCUGAUGCCGGACACCUCACUGUCGGGUGUGUGUGUGUGUGUGUGUUGGGGGGAGAGCACUCCAUCACUUUAAUUGUAUUUGUUGUUAUGGACAAGCUCUUCAUUCCUUAACUGUAUCAAAGAGUGAAAGAGGCGACAUGUUGUGUCACUCAAUCAGCAUAAUUGUAUGUAAGAGUCACCAUUCAACCUUGGAUCCAUCGAACACUGUGAGCAGAGGGCAGGAACAACUUCAUCCACACAAGCUGAACUUAUGGUCCCUCCUUUGUCCCUGCAGGACCACCUUUGAGUUUUAAAGGAAAUCUCAUUUAAUUAAAUCCCAAAUAAGGAGCUGCUGUAUCUGUUUAUCUGAAACCGCCUGGCCUGAUGUGAUCUCUUCACCACAGAAGAACUACAGGAGGAUGGACCCAGCAGGACGAGUGAAAAGGUGGAAUUUUGUGCACUUUUAUUUGUGUAUCUUCUUCCAAAAUACACCAGUUUCAAAUAUCUGUGUGCUUCAGAAUGUGUUAGGGUAAAUGUAGAAAAAAUGUAGCAUACUAUGUGUAGAUGGGGGAAUAUUUAGCAGUAUAACUGUCAGAUUCUAGUCCAAAGUGCCCCCUUGAUCAAUCCUCCUUAAGUGGCCUUUAAGAACCAGAAGCUCUUCACACGUAUGAUCCUUCAUUUGUCAAGUUUUUACAAACAAAUAAUAAAAAAAAGGAGAAUUCGACGUGGCCAAUAACCAAACACUAAAACGUGUCUGUUACUAGUUUGUCCCUUUUGUGCACCUGUAGAAACAUCACAGUACACCCUGACCUACUCCUCAUUUAGAGCCAAAAAUUUAAACAAUGUCUGUCUCUGGACUAAAACCUGCUCUGUAUAGACACUUGAGUCCACAUGGAUACAAAUAUAUAAAAUAUAUAGGUUUCCAUGGAAACAUAAAGUUGAAACUGAUGGUAGAGAGCAGAUGGAAACUGGUGCGUUUCAAAAAUAUGAUGUCAGUGAUUCCUAAAACAAAGUUUUUGUUGCCCCCACAAAUUUAUUCAGAACGACGCACCGACUAAAACCCGAGUCUACAGCUAUCAAAGACUCUUACUUUGUUUCUCUGAAUGAACUGCGCUCACACUGAAAGCUUAACUCUUGACAUGAAGCUCCAGAAAAAUCUGUUUGUCUCAUAUGGUCCAAAGUUUGCCUUCAACAUCCUGAUUUUCUCGUGAAAACCCCCCUCGCACAACAUCUUGAUAAUUAACUCUAUUGGCUGCCUCAGACUCCAUUUGUUACAUUCACAUGUAAAGCACAGGAGGGGCAGGGGGUGUGUGUGUGUUGUAGACCAGUUGUCAGAGGUGUCAGAUGGUCGCUGACACACACACUCUCACAUCCAUUCUCCUGCAUGACCUGGUGUGUGUUCAGGACUCAGCAAAGCAGUGUGGAGGAGUCCAUCUGCUCAUGUGUUCAAUACCACUUUCUCCAAAUGCACACAUGCCGGGCAAGCCAAUUAGCAAAAUGAGGGAUUUUUUUUUUUCCUGGGUGGUGAUUUGCAUGUUUUAUGGUGAACACAUGCUUCUCAUAGUCCCAUUAAUGGGCUGAAAUGAAGAAAUCGGCUAUUUAAACAGCAGAACUGAUUCGGACUCAGAGUCACAGAGGACUGUUUGAUAUUUUAGUUUGUGGUUCUCGUUCAUUUAUUAAAUAUGGCUUUGAUAUUCAUGUGUUUUGAAAAUGACAAAGCAAUAAUUUCAGUGCAGCAAGUUUGACUGUUUUGAACUGAUUUGCUGGAGAUUUUAAUAAACAAACAUGUGAAAAUGAACAUUUAUGAAGUGUAAAAAAAGACUCAGUCAGGAGCGCAUUUUGAGCUGCUGUCAGUCCAGUUUCUGUUUGAAGUGCGUUAAUCACACUGACAGACUUCUUCCGCUGGUAACGCUGGUUUCACUGUAAAUCUCAGCAGAGUGAGGGUUUACUCAGCCAGUCUAACCAGUUCAGCUGAUGAUGGUAUGUGCUGCUCUCAGUUUCAUUCAUAUUGAACAGUUUUCCCUCUCUGAAAGACAGCUCAAGAAAAACAGGCAGAGGAGGAGGUGCAGAGCAGAUCUGUUCAAAUGUGUUUAUGUUCUGAUAACAGUCAAUAAGAAGUCUGUCAUUUUAAUCAAGGUUAAUAAAGCAAAUAAACUUCAUACUUCAAGUCAACAUAUGAGCUUAUAUUUAGUUUCAGAUAAAUAGUAUGUCACUCAUUUGUAUAUUGGUAUAAAGAAAAAAUUGAUGUUAACAGUAUAUAACAGAGAUGAGUAGUAAAUGAAUUCUUGUCGAGGUGUAUUUUUUCAUUUAAACUGAACCAGGAAAGUCUCACUGAGAUCAAAAGUCUGUUCGUCAGCAGCAUGUUCAGACAAAGUUACAGACACGCAAAACAGUAAAACACACGUCAACCUUUCCUUCCUCGUAUGACAGGAAGUCAUCAGUUAAAGCGUCUGCUGCCUGAUUCCUCCUUUUCCAACACCUUCACUCUGAGACCAGCUCUUAGCCGCUUUCAUAACUCCUUUUUGCCCAUUUCAGGACCGACUGUGGGGACAGAGAGGGGAGCAAGUAAGGAACCACCUCACAAACAAGCACAUGCGGUGAUUGAGUCUGUCUGUAGACAGAACAGGCCAGCACAUGUCGAGUUUGUAAUAAACCACAGAGCGCUCACUCUGGCAAACCUGAGAAGGAAAUUUUUUUUGAGUGAUCCUAAUAUUUAAUAUCUUUAUCUUCAGAUGAGCCGUUUUUCUAAACCCGUCAGGUGGACAGGGGUGAAUGAAUCCUAAAAAGACACCUUCAACUUGUGAGUCUUGACCUCCGUAUCUUGACUGUAGUUAUCAGCACGUUGGCUUAAUAUCUCAAGCUGCUUGUUUUUGGAGGCAAUUCUGCAGACUGACAGCCAAUCAGGUUAAGUCAGCAUGUCUGACAUAGCAACAGGAGUGAAACAGACAGCAGCAGCAGCAUGCAGCACGCAACCACCAAUAACUGCUGCAGUUUACAGACAGACCAGUUCAUUGGUUGGCCGGGUGGAUUAAUGGCACGAGGAUAAAUUGGCAUCAUAUCUGCAUCGGCCCUCCUCACAAGGUCAAAAUCGCUCUUAAAAACCCAUUCUUUUACAGUCCCUGAGUUUGACACUAAUUUAGCGUACAUGUAGAAAAUAGAUCAGCUCUGACAGCAAUACCAGCCAUUCUCUGAAAUGUUUAACACCACCUAAUAAUUGCCUCUCCAUCUAAAACAUGUCACUGGCAAAGUAAACUGUAUAUAAGAGUGAAAGUAUCUCAUUUUGAAGUACGAUUUGGAAGCUGCUGUAAAAAAACAGAUGUUAGGGUUUUGUAUUCCUGAUCUGUAAAUUCAUUUAAAUUGGCCUGCAAUGUUUCCAUGAAUAAGCGUCCUCUCCACGUCCAGGCAAAAGCAAUAAAGCAGAAUGAGUCAGUGGGAGAUGGAGAGUCUCCCCCUCGGAGUGGGGUCACUGAGGCUGUAAAUUUCCCUCCCUGUGUGACAGAGCGUCUGCAGCCUUCUGCAGCGCGGCCUGCCUGUUCUCUGGUUGUAAGGUGACGGAAUGUCCUCCCCCCUCUCUCUUCUCAGUCUCAACCCCUCCACCCUCCCUCCCUCCCUCACACACACACCCACACUCACCCUCAGCACCAUUAUGAAAUCCCAGCAGAUGGCCAGGAGACAAAGAGUAUGUGAGGGUGAGAGACCCUCAUUCUCCCAACCACAGCUCGUGGAGCCGGCAGUCUGCUUUAUUCCAGCUCAAACUUCUCUACAACCCCCCCUAACCCUCUCACAUACUUCUGAGCCACGUGUCUCUCAAUUAGGACAAAUCAACACUCACUCACUCCAUCCCUCGCUCAUACAGAUGUAGGGAUUUAGCCUCUUUCUCUCUUUCCAGCGAAACAAGCUCACUUAAUGCGCAGACAUUAGCCUAAAUGAUUCCCGGUGUCCUUUAUCAGGGCGAGAGCUCCAACCAUUUGGGGCCCUGCAGCAGGUAAUUCUUCUUUUAACUGAGCAAUUGAAUCAGUUGGCGCUGAAGGGCUAUUUGGCAAAGAGCCAUUUAGUGUAAGUGCUCUCAAGGCCGGCAAAUGACACUUGUAGAGACAAUGUCACCCCUAUGACACCAUCAGUUGAUUGUGUAUUGAACAGAUACGGAGGAGCGCGGUAGGCCCCAGGCCAGGAAUAUGCAGUAUUAUUGGCAGGGCAAAGUGCAAGGCGAGCAUCCUGGCGGGCAGAGAUUCAGGCGAGCUCUGCGGAGGCUUCUGUCAAUAUCAGGAGCCAAGGUUGCCAGGACAGACUCUGAGGUGAUGAACAAGUUUAUUUGACUGAUAUGUGCAGCAGAUCAUUUUUUACUGACUGCAGCAAAGUGACAACUCUUAUUCCAGAAAUGCUCUCAACAUGCCGAGAAAAAGUCCUUGUUUGAGGUAACCUCCUGCUGAGUCACACCAGGUUAAAAAACACCAAAGUCCAUCAGAGUUGGACAUAAUUCAACAAAUGAAUUAAAGUCAAAUCUGAUCAACUACAAACAAAGUUUAUUUAGCUUAAAGUGAGAUUCCGGUGUAAAUUUAAAUUAUGAUCAAACACACUGUAACACUGAGUUAGACACCCCCUCCAGAGAUGAGUGUUGCUGACUGCUUCCUUCUCUAGUUAUACCAACUUCAGUAACGGCCGCAAUACACAGCGGUCUACGUCUUUACAUGCAAACCUCAACCAAAACGCCA